GACGCACCGGCGCCUCGUGGUCGACGCCUGGCCGUACCCCGACCGACCGCGGUCGGAGCACGCCUAGCUGCUGGCGCGCCGCGCCCGCCCGGGCUCUGCCACGACCCCCUGUCCGCACCGCCACCCGACGCCUGUCGCGCAGCCUAGCCGCUUCGCGGCGGCCGCGCUGAGGACCGAGGCAACAAUUGCCUCCGACGCAAAGCGAGCUGAGGUAUGCAUGCACGCUGUUCGAUGAAAUGUCUGGGAGGUCUUCAGCUAGCUGUUUAAGUGAAUGAAGUAAUCCUGUUCCAUGUCUUGGGUUCCCAUCCUUGAACUACGAACCUGGAUUUGUUCCAAUAUGCAAUGUUGAAUAAUUUAUUUAUAAUUUAUCAGACGAAUCGGUGAAAGGCUUGUACCACCUGGCAAGGCAUAUGUACAUGCCUUAGCUAGCUGUAGUAUCUUCUGACUUUUAACAUACUGAUACUCCCUGUAGUUUAUGUGCUGUUUAGACUUUGGAAAUCUAGUGUACCUUCUCGGCACUGUUGCGGCACUGUUGCGCAAUAGAAGUGGCCCACGCGUCAACCAGCAGUUGCUAGCUCAAAAAUAUUUGGUGUACCUACAGAUAAAUAGAGUACUUUGCCACCAAUAUCAAAAGUUAUUAACCAACUGAUGCUGUUUUUUUCCUUUUCUUGUGCAUUAAUUCCUCAAUGUGCGGCAAGGUGGUGCGUUGCUAUUUCUAGAAAUCUGGUUUACCAACUAAUGUGGGGAGAUUAUUUCUCCUUUUCUGAAUAUGAAAUUAGUUGUUGUGCAUUUCCAUGUUGUAUACAAAUUGGUGUCUAGAUGCAUUGUUCAUACCCAUGUUUUCCCGAUUGUUUCAUAGGUAAAAAUCACCUGAAAAGGUCUGUUGUACACUAUGAUCCUGAUUGUUCAUACCCAUGUUUUCCCUACAGGUAGCUUAAUUUAGGACUGACCAGUUGUUCCUCAUGGAAUAAUACAUGGCACACUGGUGAACUGAUUGAUAUAUAUCAUUACAAGGUAUACAUUAUUAUUUAUGACAUCGCUUAUAUUACAUAACACCUUAGGACAGAGAGAGAUUGCUGUUGUUGGGGCGUAUAUUAUAUACCUUAAGCUUUUUUAAUUUGCCUAGUGAUACAGGUUCUGAUAAUAAUGCUGUUGCUUUAGUGUUACGAUUGCACUGAAAGACUUUUAAGAAUAUAUAAGUAAGUCAGUGUCAUUUAGUUUGGACCUUUUGUGCUUAUGGGCUGGUACACCUUUAAAUACUCAAGGUUUAAUUGUCUUGCUGCGCUAAUUUUGCCUUGCCUAAGAUUCAUGGAAGCUCUCAUGUUUCUUUGUAAUUACAGCGAAUUGAUGCUUUCUGUGGAUAUAUUUAUUUUAUCUAAAUAUAUAUUAUUUCUUAUUCGUAUUCUUCCGUUGUUAUUAGAGACAAUUGUAACUCUUGAGAACAUUAGCAAUAUUAGAUUUAAUCAUACUUCGGCUGUGCAAGGGAGAAAAAGGGAAGGGGUGUUUAUAUUAAAAACUCAACCUUGUUAGUCAGCUCAAGAAAAAACAGUGUAAGGCUGCAGCUUCUUUGCCUUGGUAGGUUUUUUAUUGCUCUCUCUUUUAUUUUUUUUCUUUUCAGCAGCAUAGACUCACUCAAUAGUGGUAUCAUUUUCUUGAGCUGGAUGAAUAAAAUCGUCUUCCUGAUUCUUUUCAGCCAAUUGGGGGUGAGGGUGUACCAUAAGAUAAUUGGCAUGAUCUUCCUAUGGCUGACUAUAGGUACAAAGCUACAAUCUACCAGCUAAUGGAGUGGAUUGAGGAGCUAAAGGAACAGAUGUGGUUUCUUUGCCUUAGGACUGUUGUGCUGCUAAAAGCUUAUUUAUGAGCCAUUGCUACAACACAAUAUGUACUCUUACCUAAAAGAAAGAAAUGCACAAUGUUGUUUAUGAACCAUUCUUGUUUUUUGUUGAAUUAUACUUUGUGAAAAUUUUCUUGUUCCAAGCUGGUUAUAUCACUUCUGUCAUCA
rnacentral:lncRNA from 1 species